AGCGAACGCUGGCGGCAGGCCUAACACAUGCAAGUCGAACGAACCCUUCGGGGUUAGUGGCGGACGGGUGAGUAACCCGUGGGAACGUGCCUAUAGGUUCGGAAUAACUCAGGAAAACUUGUGCUAAUACCGAAUGUGCCCUUCGGGGGAAAGAUUUAUCGCCUUUAGAGCGGCCCGCGUCUGAUUAGCUAGUUGGUGAGGUAAUGGCUCACCAAGGCUACGAUCAGUAGCUGGUCUGUGAGGAUGACGAGCCACAUUGGGACUGAGAACCGGCCCAAAGCCCUACGGGAGGCAGCAGUGGGGAAUCUUGCGCAAUGGGCGAAAGCCUGACGCAGCCAUGCCGCGUGGAUGAUGAAGGUCUUAGGACUGUAAAAUCCUCUCACCGGUGAAGAUAAUGACUGUAGCCGGAGAAGAAGCCCCGGCUAACUUCGUGCCAGCCGCCGCCGUAACAC
rnacentral:rRNA from 1 species